rnacentral:rRNA from 1 species
AUUGAACGCUGGCGGCAUGCUUUACACAUGCAAGUCGAACGGCGGCGCGGGCUUCGGCCUGGCGGCGAGUGGCGAACGGGUGAGUAAUACAUCGGAACGUGCCCAGUAGUGGGGGAUAGCUCGGCGAAAGCCGGAUUAAUACCGCAUACGACCUGAGGGUGAAAGCGGGGGAUCUUCGGACCUCGCGCUAUUGGAGCGGCCGUUGGCAGAUUAGCUGGUUGGUGGGGUAAAGGCCUACCAAGGCGACGAUCUGUAGCUGGUCUGAGAGGACGACCAGCCACACUGGGACUGAGACACGGCCCAGACUCCUACGGGAGGCAGCAGUGGGGAAUUUUGGACAAUGGGCGAAAGCCUGAUCCAGCAAUGCCGCGUGUGGGAUGAAGGCCUUCGGGUUGUAAAGCACUUUUGGCGGGAACGAAAAGGACUGUGCCAAUACCACGGUUCGAUGACGGUACCCGCAGAAUAAGCACCGGCUAACUACGUG